GAUGAACGCUGGCGACGUGCCUAAUACAUGCAAGUCGAGCGAACGGACAAGAAGCUUGCUUCUCUGAUGUUAGCGGCGGACGGGUGAGUAACACGUGGAUAACCUACCUAUAAGACUGGGAUAACUUCGGGAAACCGGAGCUAAUACCGGAUAAUAUUUUGAACCGCAUGGUUCAAAAGUGAAAGACGGUCUUGCUGUCACUUAUAGAUGGAUCCGCGCUGCAUUAGCUAGUUGGUAAGGUAACGGCUUACCAAGGCAACGAUGCAUAGCCGACCUGAGAGGGUGAUCGGCCACACUGGAACUGAGACACGGUCCAGACUCCUACGGGAGGCAGCAGUAGGGAAUCUUCCGCAAUGGGCGAAAGCCUGACGGAGCAACGCCGCGUGAGUGAUGAAGGUCUUCGGAUCGUAAAACUCUGUUAUUAGGGAAGAACAUAUGUGUAAGUAACUGUGCACAUCUUGACGGUACCUAAUCAGAAAGCCACGGCUAUCUACGUG
rnacentral:rRNA from 1 species